AGUGAACGCUGGCGGCGUGCUUAACAUAUGCAAGUCGAACGAGAACGGAUUAUAGCUUGCUAUAAUUGUCAGCUAAGUGGCGCACGGGUGAGUAAUGUAUAGGUAAUAUGCCUCUUACUAAGGGAUAACAAUUGGAAACGAUUGCUAAUACCUUAUAUUCCUUUUUAUCAGAAGAUAAAAAGGGAAAGAUUUAUUGGUAAGAGAUUAGCCUGUAUUGUAUCAGUUAGUUGGUGGGGUAAUGGCCUACCAAGACGAUGACGCAUAACUGGUUUGAGAGGAUGAUCAGUCACACUGGUACUGAGACACGGUCCAGACUCCUACGGGAGGCAGCAGUGGGGAAUAUUGCACAAUGGACGAAAGUCUGAUGCAGCAACGCCGCGUGGAGGAUGACACAUUUCGGUGCGUAACCUCCUUUUAUAUAAGAAGAUAAUGACGGUAUUAUAUGAAUAAGCACCGGCUAACUCCGUGCCAGCCGCCGCCGUAA
rnacentral:rRNA from 1 species